rnacentral:rRNA from 1 species
CCUACGGGAGGCAGCAGUGAGGAAUAUUGGUCAAUGGGCGAGAGCCUGAACCAGCCAAGUAGCGUGAAGGAUGACUGCCCUAGGGGUUGUAAACUUCUUUUAUAUAGGAAUAAAAUGUUCCACGUGUGGGAUUUUGUAUGUACGAUAUGAAUAAGGAUCGGCUAACUCCGUGCCAGCAGCCGCGGUAAUACGGAGGGUUCGAGCGUUAUCCGGAUUUAUUGGGUUUAAAGGGAGCGUAGGUGGAGUGUUAAGUCAGUUGUGAAAGUUUGCGGCUCAACCGUAAAAUUGCAGUUGAUACUGGGAGUCUUGAGUACAGUAGAGGUGGGCGGAAUUCGUGGUGUAGCGGUGAAAUGCUUAGAUAUCACGAAGAACUCCGAUUGCGAAGGCAGCUCACUGGACUGCAACUGACACUGAGGCUCGAAAGUGUGGGUAUCAAACAGGAUUAGAUACCCGGGUAGUC